GGAGGAGGAACGCUGGCCCUGGCUGCAGUACAAGUGUACAACCAGCUGUACUCGCUCUCUCCGGCUAUCUCGGACAUGGACGCACCGAGAAUGGUACUAGUACGUACUUAGAGUACUUCACUUGUGCCUGAAAAUGCAGUGCAGUACAACACCAAUCUCCGUCCGUCACAUCCCUCCCUCCCUCCCUUGGUGCCACCAAAAGCUACAAGUAGAAUCGAUCGCUACGACUUGGUUAUAAUAAGCCUGAAGAAGAGGAUAUACCGCCAUAUAUUUCCGUCAGCAGAGCAGGAGUGUCUUUACGGUAAACAAGGGCAGGAUACGCGAGGAAAUUCCUGCGGGGUCGAGCUGGGAACACAUGAGAUAUGAACCGCUUGAUUGAAUAUCAACUCAUGUGUUCUCAGGUCGCCCCCGCUGGAGCCUCCUCGCCGCAGAUCGACUGCUUCAUUGAUGCGUACUCGGUCGUCGGCCAGGCGUGUUCAGAGGCCCCUCGGUUUCAUCAGAGAUCAAACUGAUCACCUCCCCAGUUUUCAUGGGUCCCUACCAUUCACCGUGCGGUAGCAUGCAACUAGAUC